rnacentral:lncRNA from 1 species
CGGUCGGGAGUUGUACGGGCAAUACUGUUAAGCUUACUAACACCGGUGCAGCACGCUCUGGGAAGGGGCCCACGGUCAAGUAGCCAAUGCAUGCCGCCACGUUGGUAUUAACCGUGCCACAGCUCAAAGCCGCCUUUGAUGUGAUGGGACCUGCCACAAUCAUGCAGGCCAAGACCAAGCAUGCCAACUUCACUAGACCGGCCAUUUUGUUUUUUCUCUUAGCGUUUUUGCGGUUGUGCAAAAGUAGAUGUGUGUAAUUGUGAUACUGAGUGAGGAAAGGAGCCGAGGGAGUGACUGUUUAUAUAGAGAAUGAAGUAUAUGUUAUGAAUGUGGAUGUGAUUACAAGAAAGGACUAGUUAGUUGGCUGUUGGUUACAUGUAGAGUACCUAAGAACAUGAUUAAUCCGGGGUUUUUAGGAUGAGAUUUUUAGCGGAAGUUAAGAAACUAUUUAUUAACUUUUAACUAAAAAAGUUAAGAACCGGUUCUUAAAUAAAAACUUUAAGAACCGGUUCUCAGCUUUUUUAGUUAAAAGUUAAGAAACAGUUUUUUAAUUUCCGCUAAGAACCUCACUAUAAAAACCUCGGGUUAAAUCAUGGUCUAGUUAUGUUGGGUACCUCUCAUAUAUAUGAACAAAACUUAGGUUCACCACUUGAACCUUUAAAUUCACAUCUUUUUCUAGGAUCAAUCAAAGUGUCACAAGUUGCACAAAAAAAAAAAAAAAUCAAAGUGUCACAUAAAUAAUUAAUUAAAAAGUAUUAAAUUUAUUUAAAAAGAACUAAAAAAAAGAAUAAUGCUAAUUUUAACAAUGCUAACGCCGCUAGCUAAACCGUAAACCCUAAACUGUAAUUUUAAACCCAAACCCUAAACCCAAAUCCUAGACCCUAAACCCAAACCGUAUACUCUAAACCCAAAUUCUAGACCCUAAACCCAAACCGUAAACCUUAAAUCCAAACCCUAUACCCUACACCAAAUCCUAGACCCUAAACCCAAACAAUAUACCCUAAACCCAAACUGUAAACCCUAAACCCAAACAUAGACGCUAUAAGGUUUGGUUUUAGGGUCUAGGGUUUAGGUUUAGGGUAUAUGGUUUGGGUUUAGGGUAUACAAUUUGGGUUUAGGAUCUAGGAUUUGGAUUUAGGAUAUAGAGUUUAGGAUUUGGGUUUAGGAUUUAAAGUUUAGGGUUUAAAAUUUAAGAUUUAGGAUUUACGGUUUAGCUAACGGUGUCAUUGUCGUUAAAACUGGCGUUAUUCUUUUUUUUUUGUUAUUUUUAAAUAAAUUUAAUAUUUUAAUUAAUUAUUUAUGUAUCAUUUUGAUUGGUUUUGAUACGAGAGGUGAAUUUAAAGGUUCUAACCUAAGUUUUGUUCUUUGGAGCUGGAAGCCCAUGAUUUAUCAGCUUUCCCUCAAGGUCGGGCCUGACGACUUCUCCCCCCUGUGCAUAUACUGAAAGUUUAAUUGCAAUUUUUAUUUCUACAAAUUUGAUUCACUCUUCUAUAACAGAAAAGACAAUCAAAGUUGUGUCUAGACUUUUGGGAGCCGUAUGCAAGACAAGUAAAUUAUAAAACUAAAUUAAGUGAAAAGAUAAAUAACCUAUCAAUGAUGAAAACAUAGCCAAAAUUUAAAUAACAAUAUUAUUUCUUAAUGUUCAUUCUAUGUAAUUGUCCAAAUCAUCAUCUCAUAACUCAUAAGUGAUCAGUGUAAAAGCUAAAUCGAAUUAAUAAAUAGACCCCGAAUAUUUGUCACGGUUUUCCAAGGGUUGUCACGGUUCCUUGAAACAGUCCACCAUUUUCUCGAUUAUCAAAAGUCUAAACAAAUAAUUGAACAGUACCAAGCGUGGGGAAUGUCUUGUUACGUCAUUUUCUGUAAAAUUAAAAUGCUCCGUUACUUCCCAACUGUAUGGCAAAUUAAAUAUAAUUUCCUUUUUGUUUAUGUUUGAUAAUUUUUGUUCAUGAUUAUGAAACUAAACUAACCUUCGGUAAGAAUAUAGUAGAAUAAAACGUAAAUCUUAGAUCUGAAAUUCAUAUAACGUUGAUUGUGAACAUAGUACAGACGACCAAAGUAAUAGGAACGUCACAACAUAAAAGACAGGAAACUGAAAAACUCUAAAAACAACAACCAUUGGAACAUCUUAUUUUAGUAUUCGCUCAUCCAUUACAUAAUACUUGAACGUCUGCAUUAGCUUCAUCCGACCGCCGCUCAUUUCACACUGCAACCACAUACAAAUAAACAUAACACCGUUAUAAUAAAAUACUCAAAUCCCAAUUAAAAAAACUUUUAGUAUAUACUUGUUGCACCGGUAUUAUCCGUCGGGAUAUGGUUAAACAGAACUUCAAAUCGUUAAUACAGUGACAGUCUUUACUAAAACACUAAACUGUUAAUAUAAAAACUCAAGUUUUCAUUUAACAAAAAUAAUCUUCAUAUUAUCUACUUCUUGUUUAAAAAAACCGCAGAGAGAGAAAGAGACAGAUUAAGACAUAUAUACCUGUUGCAGUUGGUGGUUUUGCUGAUCUUGUAAGGAAUGUUGACUCCACAUGCCUUAGGAAGUCCAGCCGCACGGGCAGCGUUGAGAGUAGGGAAGGAGUUAGCGGCUCCUACAAGGCAACGGCAAGCUUGCUGACGGUCUGGGGUUGUACGGGCCAUGUUGUUUAGACUAGUAACGCCGCUGCAGCACGCUCUGGGAACGGCCGGCGCAUUCUGGGCCAGGUAGCCAAUGCAAGGUGCCACGUAGCCGCUAACGGUGCCACAACUCAGAGCCGCGUUCGAUGUGAUUGGACCGGCCACGAUCAUGCAGGCGAAGACCAAGCAUGCCAACUUCAUUAGACCAGCCAUAUUUCUCUCUUAGAUUUUUUUUGUUUGCAAAAUGAG